AAACCAACCGGGAUUGCCUUAGUAACGGCGAGUGAAGCGGCAAAAGCUCAAAUUUGAAAUCUGGUACCUUCGGUGCCCGAGUUGUAAUUUGUAGAAUUUAUUUUGGGGCUGUUCCUCAUCUAUGUUCCUUGGAACAGGACGUCAUAGAGGGUGAGAAUCCCGUAUGAUGAUGCAG
rnacentral:rRNA from 1 species